rnacentral:rRNA from 1 species
AUUGAACGCUGGCGGCAUGCCUUACACAUGCAAGUCGAACGGCAGCGGACCUUCGGGUGCCGGCGAGUGGCGAACGGGUGAGUAAAGUAUCGGAACGUACCUUUCAGUGGGGGAUAACGUAGCGAAAGUUACGCUAAUACCGCAUAUUCUGUGAGCAGGAAAGCAGGGGAUCGCAAGACCUUGCGCUGAUUGAGCGGCCGAUAUCAGAUUAGCUAGUUGGUGAGGUAAAGGCUCACCAAGGCGACGAUCUGUAGCGGGUCUGAGAGGAUGAUCAGCCACACUGGAACUGAGACACGGUCCAGACUCCUACGGGAGGCAGCAGUGGGGAAUUUUGGACAAUGGGGGCAACCCUGAUCCAGCCAUGCCGCGUGAGUGAAGAAGGCCUUCGGGUUGUAAAGCUCUUUCGGCCGGGAAGAAAUCGCGCCAGUUAAUACCUGGUGUGGAUGACGGUACCGGAAUAAGAAGCACCGGCUAACUACGUGCCAGCCGCCGCCGUAAAAC